rnacentral:rRNA from 1 species
AAUUAUUAUUUUAAUAAAUUUAUGUUAAUUAAAAAAAUUUAUUAAUUAAAAUAAUAUUAAUUUAUUUAAAUUUAGAUUUUAGUAUAAUUUAUAGAAAAAAUAUUUAAUUGAUAGUUAAAUAGUAUAGUAAUAUAAAAUUGAAAUAAUUUUAAAAAUAAGUUUUUUAAAAGUAAUUAUUAUUAAUUUAUCUUGUGUAUCAGAGAUUAUUUAUUUUAUAUGAAUGUAUUUAAUUAUCUCAAAUUUUUAAGAUAUAAUUAGUUAUUUUAGUUAUUGUAGUAUAAUUAUUAAUAAUAAUUAAUUUGUAAUGAAAUGUUAUUCGAUUAAAAAUAUAUUUAGUUUAAUAAGAAUUAAAUUUAAUUUAUUUAGUUAAUAGGAUUAUUUUAUUUUAUUAAUAUAUUUUUUAUUAACUAAAAAAAUUUUUAGGGAUAAGCUUAAAAAUUUAUUAAAUUAAUAAUAUAUAAAAAAAUUUUAAAUAAUUAAUAUUUUUAGUUAUUUUAAAAAAAUUUUAUUUAAAUAAAAUUUUAAUUUGCAAUUAAAUAUUAAUAUAAUAUUUUUAUUUUAGUUAUUAUUAUUAUAAAUUAAAUAAUAAUAAUAAUAUUAGUAUAUUUUGUAUUUAUUUUAAUUAAAUUAUUAAUUUAAAUUAAAAUUUAAUUUUAAGAAUUCGACAAAUUUUUAUAUUUACUUGUUUAACAAAAACAUGUCUUUUUGAUAUUUAUUUAAAGUCUAAUCUGCUCUCUGAAUGAAUUUAAAGGCCGCAAUUUAAUUGUGCAAAGGUAGCAUAAUCAUUAGUUUUUUAAUUGAGAACUUGUAUGAAUGAUUGGAUAAAAUAUAUAUUUUUUUAGAUUAAUAAUUAGAAUUUAAUAUUUUAGUGAAAAAGCUAAAAUAAAUAAAAAAGACGAGAAGACCCUAUAGAUUUUUAUUUUUUUAUUGUUUAUUAUUAAUUAAAUAAAAAAUUUUAUUGGGGUGAUGAAAAAAUUUAAGAAACUUUUAAGAAUUUAUUCAUAAAUAUAUGAAAUUAUUAUAAACUUUAAUUUAAAAAUUUAGAUUAAAAUACCUUAGGGAUAACAGCGUAAUUUUAAUUUUAAUUAAAAUUAAAAUUAAAGAUUGCGACCUCGAUGUUGGAUUAAAAUAAAUUUUAAAAAAGAAGUUUAAAAUUUUAGUCUGUUCGACUUUUAUUUUUUACAUGAUCUGAGUUCAAACCGGCGUGAGCCAGGUUGGUUUCUAUCUUUUUAUUUUUUAGAUAAUUUAGUACGAAAGGAUUUUUUAUUUAAUAUUUUAUUAUAUUUGAUUUUUAAUUGAAUAAAAUUAAUUAAUUGUA